rnacentral:rRNA from 1 species
UAAGUAAGCUUUGAUCCAGAGAUUUCCGAAUGGGGAAACCCAGCAUGAGUUAUGUCAUGUUAUCGAUAUGUGAAUACAUAGCAUAUCAGAAGGCACACCCGGAGAACUGAAACAUCUUAGUACCCGGAGGAAGAGAAAGAAAAUUCGAUUCCCUUAGUAGCGGCGAGCGAAACGGGAAGAGCCCAAACCAACAAGCUUGCUUGUUGGGGUUGUAGGACACUCUAUACGGAGUUACAAAGGACGACAUUAGACGAAUCAUCUGGAAAGAUGAAUCAAAGAAGGUAAUAAUCCUGUAGUCGAAAAUGUUGUCUCUCUUGAGUGGAUCCUGAGUACGACGGAGCACGUGAAAUUCCGUCGGAAUCUGGGAGGACCAUCUCCUAAGGCUAAAUACUCUCUAGUGACCGAUAGUGAACCAGUACCGUGAGGGAAAGGUGAAAAGCACCCCGGAAGGGGAGUGAAAUAGAACCUGAAACCGUGUGCUUACAAGUAGUCAGAGCCCGUUAAUGGGUGAUGGCGUGCCUUUUGUAGAAUGAACCGGCGAGUUACGAUUUGAUGCAAGGUUAAGCAGUAAAUGUGGAGCCGUAGCGAAAGCGAGUCUGAAUAGGGCGUUUAGUAUUUGGUCGUAGACCCGAAACCAGGUGAUCUACCCUUGGUCAGGUUGAAGUUCAGGUAACACUGAAUGGAGGACCGAACCGACUUACGUUGAAAAGUGAGCGGAUGAACUGAGGGUAGCGGAGAAAUUCCAAUCGAACCUGGAGAUAGCUGGUUCUCUCCGAAAUAGCUUUAGGGCUAGCCUCAAGUGAUGAUUAUUGGAGGUAGAGCACUGUUUGGACGAGGGGCCCCUCUCGGGUUACCGAAUUCAGACAAACUCCGAAUGCCAAUUAAUUUAACUUGGGAGUCAGAACAUGGGUGAUAAGGUCCGUGUUCGAAAGGGAAACAGCCCAGACCACCAGCUAAGGUCCCAAAAUAUAUGUUAAGUGGAAAAGGAUGUGGCGUUGCCCAGACAACUAGGAUGUUGGCUUAGAAGCAGCCAUCAUUUAAAGAGUGCGUAAUAGCUCACUAGUCGAGUGACACUGCGCCGAAAAUGUACCGGGGCUAAACAUAUUACCGAAGCUGUGGAUUGUCCUUUGGACAAUGGUAGGAGAGCGUUCUAAGGGCGUUGAAGCAUGAUCGCAAGGACAUGUGGAGCGCUUAGAAGUGAGAAUGCCGGUGUGAGUAGCGAAAGACGGGUGAGAAUCCCGUCCACCGAUUGACUAAGGUUUCCAGAGGAAGGCUCGUCCGCUCUGGGUUAGUCGGGUCCUAAGCUGAGGCCGACAGGCGUAGGCGAUGGAUAACAGGUUGAUAUUCCUGUACCACCUAUAAUCGUUUUAAUCGAUGGGGGGACGCAGUAGGAUAGGCGAAGCGUGCGAUUGGAUUGCACGUCUAAGCAGUAAGGCUGAGUAUUAGGCAAAUCCGGUACUCGUUAAGGCUGAGCUGUGAUGGGGAGAAGACAUUGUGUCUUCGAGUCGUUGAUUUCACACUGCCGAGAAAAGCCUCUAGAUAGAAAAUAGGUGCCCGUACCGCAAACCGACACAGGUAGUCAAGAUGAGAAUUCUAAGGUGAGCGAGCGAACUCUCGUUAAGGAACUCGGCAAAAUGACCCCGUAACUUCGGGAGAAGGGGUGCUCUUUAGGGUUAACGCCCAGAAGAGCCGCAGUGAAUAGGCCCAAGCGACUGUUUAUCAAAAACACAGGUCUCUGCUAAACCGUAAGGUGAUGUAUAGGGGCUGACGCCUGCCCGGUGCUGGAAGGUUAAGAGGAGUGGUUAGCUUCUGCGAAGCUACGAAUCGAAGCCCCAGUAAACGGCGGCCGUAACUAUAACGGUCCUAAGGUAGCGAAAUUCCUUGUCGGGUAAGUUCCGACCCGCACGAAAGGCGUAACGAUUUGGGCACUGUCUCAACGAGAGACUCGGUGAAAUCAUAGUACCUGUGAAGAUGCAGGUUACCCGCGACAGGACGGGAAGACCCCGUGGAGCUUUACUGUAGCCUGAUAUUGAAAUUCGGCACAGCUUGUACAGGAUAGGUA